GACGAACGCUGGCGGCGUGCCUAAUACAUGCAAGUCGAGCGCAGGAAAUCGACGGAACCCUUCGGGGGGAAGUCGACGGAAUGAGCGGCGGACGGGUGAGUAACACGUAAAGAACCUGCCCUCAGGUCUGGGAUAACCACGAGAAAUCGGGGCUAAUACCGGAUGGGUCAUCGGACCGCAUGGUCCGAGGAUGAAAGGCGCUCCGGCGUCGCCUGGGGAUGGCUUUGCGGUGCAUUAGCUAGUUGGUGGGGUAAUGGCCCACCAAGGCGACGAUGAAUAGCCGCCCUGAGAGGGGGAUCGGCCACACUGGGACUGAGACACGGCCCAGACUCCUACGGGAGGCAGCAGUAGGGAAUCUUCCACAAUGGACGAAAGUCUGAUGGAGCAACGCCGCGUGAACGAUGAAGGCCUUCGGGUCGUAAAGUUCUGUUGUAAGGGAAGAACAAGUGCCGCAGGCAAUGGCGGCACCUUGACGGUACCUUGCGAGAAAGCCACGGCUAACUACGUGCCAGCCGCCGCCGUAAAAC
rnacentral:rRNA from 1 species